UACGUAGGCAGCGAGCGUUGUUCGGAGUUACUGGGCGUAAAGGGUGUGUAGGCGGUUGUUUAAGUUUGGUGUGAAAUCUCCCGGCUCAACUGGGAGGGUGCGCCGAAUACUGAAUGACUAGAGUGCGGGAGAGGAAAGUGGAAUUCCUGGUGUAGCGGUGAAAUGCGUAGAUAUCAGGAGGAACACCGGUGGUGGAGACGGCUUUCUGGACCGUAACUGACGCUGAGACACGAAAGCGUGGGUAGCAAACAGG
rnacentral:rRNA from 1 species